rnacentral:rRNA from 1 species
CUACGGGUGGCACCAGUGAGGAAUAUUGCACAAUGGGGGGAACCCUGAUGCAGCAACGCCGCGUGGAGGAUGACGCAUUUCGGUGUGUAAACUCCUUUUAUAUGUCAAGAAAAUGACGGUAGCAUAUGAAUAAGCACCGGCUAACUCCGUGCCAGCAGCCGCGGUAAUACGGAGGGUGCAAGCGUUACUCGGAAUCACUGGGCGUAAAGGACGCGUAGGCGGGUUGGAAAGUCAGGUGUGAAAUCCUACAGCUUAACUGUAGAACUGCACUUGAAACUUCUAAGCUAGAGUAUGGGAGGGGGAGAUGGAAUUAGUGGUGUAGGGAUAAAAUCCGUAGAUAUCACUAGGAAUACCUAAAGCGAAGGCGAUCUCCUGGAACAUUACUGACGCUAAGGCGUGAAAGCGUGGGGAGCAAACAGGAUUAGAUACCCGCGUAGUC